GAUGAAGAACGCAGCGAAAUGCGAUAAGUAAUGUGAAUUGCAGAAUUCAGUGAAUCAUCGAAUCUUAGAACGCACAUUGCGCCCGCCAGUAUUCUGGCGGGCAUGCCUGUUCGAGCGUCAUUACAACCCUCAGGCCCCCGGGCCUGGCGUUGGGGAUCGGCGGAAGCCCCCUGCGGGCACAACGCCGUCCCCCAAAUACAGUGGCGGUCCCGCCGCAGCUUCCAUUGCGUAGUAGCUAACACCUCGCAACUGGAGAGCGGCGCGGCCACGCCGUAAAACACCCAACUUCUGAAUGUUGACCUCGAAUCAGGUAGGAAUACCCGCUGAACUUAAGCAUAUCAAUAAGCGGAGGA
rnacentral:misc_RNA from 1 species